CCCAUGGACAGAGGAGCCUGGCAGGCUACAGUUCAUAGGGUUGCAAAGAGUCGGACAAGACUGAAGUGACUUGGCAUGGAGGCAAGUCUUGCUAGUCAAAUUGCUUCAGAGCUUUUCUUUGCUGGCUUGAUGAAGUAAACAGCUAUGCUGAGAAAGCCCACCUGGCAAGCAAUCACUGGUGUUUGAUUUGUAGCACCUGAGGGCAACCUCAGUUGAGAGUUGACAGCCAAGAAAAAGUCAGGGCCUUAGGACUUACAGCCCCAAGUAAAUGAACUCUGAUUGGAUGUGCUUAACAGAAGAUAUAUUCCCAGCUGAGCCAGAUGAAAAUGCAGUUCAUAAACUUGUUUGCAACCCUGCUACAUCUUGAGCAGAGAACCCAGUCCUGUAUCAGGAUGCCAGACCAACAGAAACUAAGAGGAUGGAAGAAAAAGACAAGUAGAAGAUAAGACUUCCCUGGAUAAGAAUGCCUUAGCUUACUUGGAAUGGACCUUGGCCUGGAACACUUCCUUGACCAAGAGAAAGGGAGCCACCUACACGGGAUGGCACAGGGCCCUUCCACUGCAGCACGAGGCUGUACAUAGGAGAACUCCCCUGCAUUGGCUGCCGAGAGAGCCCUGCAGGCCAUGAGGAAUCAGCACCCACUAUAGAAGCUGAUCACGCUUUGUCCAUCUCUGUGUCAGUGCAGUGAGGUGAAUCUCUCUUCCAAAAGACACCAUGGCAACAUGGAGCCGGAAUGUCACAGUUUUAUCUGCCAGCAGGAGGGCAAACAAGCUUUUGAUUCCCACACAACCAGAGCCUUGGCAGGCAGUCAUAAAUUACUUCCAGCAUAAUACUGCUCUUCUUUUUCUGUUCUCUAUCGGCAGUACCCAAAGCACAGGAAGCAAAAUUUCCCUACUAAAAAUAGAGAUGCUACAAUUUGUUUCUAGGACUUACAAAAGAGGUGACGUGGAUAGAAUGUGACCACACAGAUUUCAGGACACUGGUGAGGGCUUGGUGAGGAAGGCUGCCACUUCACUGCAUCAUCGUUUACCAAUGAGAAGGAUUAGGUUAAUAGCAAGUGCCAUUCUUGGGAAAUUAAAUUUAGAACUUCUAUCACUGCCACACUCA